rnacentral:rRNA from 1 species
GUGGGGAAUCUUAGACAAUGGGGGAAACCCUGAUCUAGCCAUGCCGCGUGAGCGAUGAAGGCCUUAGGGUUGUAAAGCUCUUUCAGCUGGGAAGAUAAUGACGGUACCAGCAGAAGAAGCCCCGGCUAACUCCGUGCCAGCAGCCGCGGUAAUACGGAGGGGGCUAGCGUUGUUCGGAAUUACUGGGCGUAAAGCGCACGUAGGCGGAUCAGAAAGUCAGAGGUGAAAUCCCAGGGCUCAACCUUGGAACUGCCUUUGAAACUCCUGGUCUUGAGGUCGAGAGAGGUGAGUGGAAUUCCGAGUGUAGAGGUGAAAUUCGUAGAUAUUCGGAGGAACACCAGUGGCGAAGGCGGCGCACGGGCUCGAUACUGACGCUGAGGUGCGAAAGCGUGGGGAGCAAACAGGAUUAGAUACCCGGGUAGUCC